rnacentral:rRNA from 1 species
AUACGUAGGGGGCGAGCGUUGUCCGGAAUGAUUGGGCGUAAAGGGCGCGUAGGCGGCCCGGUAAGUCUGGAGUGAAAGUCCUGUUUUUAAGAUGGGAAUUGCUUUGGAUACUGUCGGGCUUGAGUGCAGGAGAGGUAAGUGGAAUUCCCAGUGUAGCGGUGAAAUGCGUAGAGAUUGGGAGGAACACCAGUGGCGAAGGCGACUUACUGGACUGUAACUGACGCUGAGGCGCGAAAGUGUGGGGAGCAAACAGGAUUAGAUACCCUGGUAGUCCACACUGUAAAUGAUGAAUGCUAGGUGUAGGGGGUAUCGACCCCUCCUGUGCCGCAGUCAACACAAUAAGCAUUCCGCCUGGGGAGUACGGCCGCAAGGUUGAAACUUAAAGGAAUUGACGGGG